CCGGCGACGGCGCACGGGUGAGUAACACGUAUGCAACCUGCCCGUCUCAGGGGGAUAAUCGUCGGAAACGGCGUCUAAUACCCCGUAUGAAGCUGGACGGCAUCGUCUGGUUUUGAAAGAAUAUCGGAGACGGAUGGGCAUGCGGCGCAUUAGCUAGUUGGCGGGGUAACGGCCCACCAAGGCGACGAUGCGUAGGGGUUCUGAGAGGAAGGUCCCCCACACUGGUACUGAGACACGGACCAGACUCCUACGGAAGGCAGCAG
rnacentral:rRNA from 1 species